GGCUUAGCUCAGUUGGUAGAGCAACUGAUUUGUAAUCAGUAGGUCUCCGGUUCGAAUCCG
rnacentral:tRNA from 2 species